rnacentral:rRNA from 1 species
UACGUAGGGUGCGAGCGUUGUCCGGAAUUAUUGGGCGUAAAGAGCGUGUAGGCGGCCAUACAGGUCAGCUGUGAAAACUCGAGGCUCAACCUCGAGACGUCGGUUGAAACCGUUUGGCUAGAGUCCGGAAGAGGAGAGUGGAAUUCCCGGUGUAGCGGUGAAAUGCGCAGAUAUCGGGAAAGAACACCCCGUGGCGAAGGCGGCUCUCUGGGAC